UGUAUAUGAAAACAACAUUACCCAGCAUACUUUGCGGUCAAGACGGCUGCACUCAUAAGAAAACAUGAACUACUCCAGAUUUUUGACAGCUGUAAGUGCAGCAAGGAGACCAUCAGCCAUUCGCAUUUUGACGGAGCUGCAGCAGCGCUCUCCUCCCACCCUGAUCUCUCUUGCUGGAGGAGCACCAAACCCAAACACCUUCCCCUUCCACUCAGCCGUUAUUCACAUGAAGACUGGAGAAAAAGUUGUGUUUGAUGAGUCUUCAAUGAAGAGAGCUCUACAGUAUUCUGCUUCUAACGGUAUUCCAGAGCUGGUCUCAUGGAUGAAAGAUCUGCAGAAGAAGCUGCAUGACCCCCCCACCGUGGCCUACAGUCCAGAGAGAGGCAAGAUGGAACUGUGUGUUACCACCGGGAGCCAGGAGGCACUCAGCAAAGUAUUUGAAAUGCUCAUCAAUCCUGGAGACAAUGUUCUUCUUGAUGCUCCUACAUACUCAGGAACUUUGGCAGCGCUCCAGCCGCUGGGAUGCAACAUAAUAAAUGUCCCCAGUGAUCAGUAUGGUAUGAUCCCGGACGGCCUUAAGGACAUUCUGGCUCGGUGGGACCCUGCAGAUGCACACAAACCUGGCAGCACUGUGCCCAGAGUGCUCUACACCAUUCCUAAUGGAGGAAAUCCCACAGGUGCCUCCAUGACCACUGAGAGGAAACAGCAGGUCUAUGAGCUUGCAAGGAGGUAUGACUUUCUUAUCGUUGAGGAUGACCCGUAUUACUUCCUGCAGUUUCAGAAGCCAUGGGCUCCAACGUUUCUCUCUAUGGAUGUUGAUGGCAGAGUUUUACGAACCGACUCCUUUUCUAAAAUCUUAUCUUCAGGUUUAAGGAUAGGUUUUGUCACCGGGCCAAAGCCAUUGGUGGACCGUGUGAUUCUUCACAUUCAAGCAUCGACCAUGCACACCAGCACCUUCACACAACUGAUGGUCUCACAGCUGCUGGACGCUUGGGGUCAGGAGGGCUUCCUAAAACAUAUUGAUGGGGUGGUUGAGUUUUACCGAGCUCAGAGGAAUGCCAUGCUCUCCUCAGCAGAAAAAUGGCUUAAAGAUGUAGCAGAGUGGCAUGCACCAUCAGCAGGCAUGUUUCUGUGGAUUAAACUAAAGGGCAUUGAAGACACACACGAACUUAUAACAAAAAAAGCCCUGGAGAAAGAAGUAUGUGCUUCUGGUACCGGGUGGCGUGUUUAACAUUCACAGCUCAGAGCCAUGUCCAUAUGUGAGAGCCGCCUUCUCCCUGUCCACACCAGAGCAGAUCGAUGAGGCUUUCAAGAGACUCUCUGCACUAAUCAAGGAAUAUUUGGGACAAUGCACUUAAAGAAUUGAAGAAGAUACCAUUUUUACUCAACAGUGAAAGCUGAAGUAAUUUCUGCUGCUGUUGAUGCAGUAAAGAGAUUUGUUACUGCACUGAUUGUACUGACAAUUACAAGUAAUUUACAAAGCACUAAAUGUACUAAAUGAAAUGAGUAACUCAGACAAACCGUUAUGAAAACAUGUGUUGUACAGUGGAAGUUAUAAGUUUACAUACACAGUGGUCAUUAGAACUUAUAUUUACUCCCUGUCUAGAUUCCAUGUCAACCAACUAUAGUUUAUAAAGUUGUUUGGAAUGCCUGCUUUGUACAUGACACACGUAACUUUUUCAAUUUUUUUAACAAAUGGUUAGAAAUCAUUUCACUAAUAAGUCACAAAAUUCUAUUGAGUCAGAAGUAUUACAUAUACCUUGUAGCUGUGCAUUUAAAUAGCUCUGAAAACAUCAUUUGAGUUAAUUGGAGGUGUACAUGUGUACGUAUUAAAGUUUGUAAUUAAAGUUCUAUCUUCAACUUCAA